AGGUACCACCCGUAGAUUCCGGUUCUGCGUGCGUCGUCCGCACGCAGCUGACGGCGGCUCGCGACGGUGUGUUAGCC
rnacentral:sRNA from 1 species